GAGUUUGAUCAUGGCUCAGAACGUACGCUGGCGGCACGCCUAACACAUGCAAGUCGAACGAAGUAGCAAUACUUAGUGGCAGACGGGUGAGUAACAUGUGGGUAUCUACCCUUUGGCCUGGAAUAACACGAGGAAACUUGUGCUAAUACCGGAUAAGUCUUUACGGAGAAAGCUUUAUGCACCAUUGGAUGAGCCCGCACUUGAUUAGUUUGUUGGUAGGGUAAUGGCCUACCAAGACUAUGAUCAAUAGCUGAUUUGAGAGGAUGAUCAGCCACAUUGGGACUGAGACACGGCCCAAACUCCUACGGGAGGCAGCAGUGGGGAAUCUUGCACAAUGGAGGAAACUCUGAUGCAGCGAUGCCGCGUGAGUGAAGAAGGCCUUUGGGUUGUAAAGCUCUUUCGUCGGGGAAGAAAAUGACUGUACCCGAAUAAGAAGGUCCGGCUAACUUCGUGCCAGCAGCCGCGGUAAUACGAAGGGACCUAGCGUAGUUCGGAAUUACUGGGCUUAAAGAGUUCGUAGGUGGUUGAAAAAGUUGGUGGUGAAAUCCCAGAGCUUAACUCUGGAACUGCCAUCAAAACUUUUCAGCUAGAGUAUGAUAGAGGAAAGCAGAAUUUCUAGUGUAGAGGUGAAAUUCGUAGAUAUUAGAAAGAAUACCAAUUGCGAAGGCAGCUUUCUGGAUCAUUACUGACACUGAGGAACGAAAGCAUGGGUAGCGAAGAGGAUUAGAUACCCUCGUAGUCCAUGCCGUAAACGAUGUGUGUUAGACGUUGGAAAUUUAUUUUCAGUGUCGCAGGGAAACCGAUAAACACACCGCCUGGGGAGUACGACCGCAAGGUUAAAACUCAAAUGAAUUGACGGGGACCCGCACAAGUAGUGGAGCAUGUGGUUUAAUUCGAAGCAACGCGCAGAACCUUACCAACCCUUGACAUCCUGUGCUACUACCAGAGAUGGUACGUUCCCUUCGGGGACGCAGUGACAGGUGCUGCAUGGCUGUCGUCAGCUCGUGUCGUGAGAUGUUCGGUUAAGUCCGGCAACGAGCGCAACCCACAUCUUUAGUUGCCAGCAGGUUAAGCUGGGCACUCUAGAGAAACUGCCCGUGAUAAGCGGGAGGAAGGUGUGGAUGACGUCAAGUCCUCAUGGCCCUUACGGGUUGGGCUACACACGUGCUACAAUGGCAGUGACAAUGGGUUAAUCCCCAAAAGCUGUCUCAGUUCGGAUUGGGGUCUGCAACUCGACCCCAUGAAGUCGGAAUCGCUAGUAAUCGCGUAACAGCCAUGGCGCGGUGAAUACGUUCCCGGGCCUUGUACACACCGCCCGUCAAGCCAUGGAAGCUGGGGGCACCUGAAGUCGGUAACCGCAAGGAGCCGCCUAGGGUGAAACUGGUAACUAGGGCUAAGUCGUAACAAGGUAACC
rnacentral:rRNA from 1 species